rnacentral:rRNA from 1 species
AUCCUACGGGGGGCAGCAGUGGGGAAUAUUGCACAAUGGGCGAAAGCCUGAUGCAGCAACGCCGCGUGAAGGAAGACGGUUUUCGGAUUGUAAACUUCUAUCAAUAGGGAAGAAAGAAAUGACGGUACCUAAAUAAGAAGCCACGGCUAACUACGUGCCAGCAGCCGCGGUAAUACGUAGGUGGCGAGCGUUGUCCGGAAUUACUGGGUGUAAAGGGAGUGUAGGCGGGAAAGCAAGUCAGAAGUGAAAACUAUGGGCUUAACCCAUAGCCUGCUUUUGAAACUGUUUUUCUUGAGUGAAGUAGA